AAUAAAUUAAUUAAUAAGUUAAAAACAUAUAUUUUGAAAAUAUAAAAAAAAGAUUAAAUUCUUUAUUAAUUU
rnacentral:tRNA from 1 species